UACAUACUCAAAUUCUUUUUCUUCCACGUUUCCUUCACCGAUUUCCUCACCCACUUAUCUCUUUUGCUUCUCUCCACCGCCUCAUGUACUACUCAUUUAUCUCUUCCGAUCGAUUUCAUCGUUUCAUCAUACAAGGUCAUCGCUUCAUCACAAAGAUCAUUCCUCACCACCGGUUGCUUCGCUCUCCUUCUACAACAUCCCUACAGUUCAUGGGUCUCACUAGGUUACUGUUCAUGGGUUAGUUAGUCCACCAGGGUCACCGCCUCCUUCGAUUACCCUUCUGUUCUCACUCUUCAUCUCCAUCGUUUCUCGCUUCUUCUUCACCACCGAUCCAGACCCGUUUUCUACUUCAUCCAGGUAUUUUUUUCACUGCUUGCGUUCUGACCUCCACCGCCUCCUCUCACUUCCGCUGCCGUGAUUUGGAAAUCCGGAGGGUAAUCUUAUCGGCCUCCUCUAUCCUUCAUUCACACCCAUCUCAACCGCCUCACAAUAGUCGGUUGGCCGAGGAAGUAGGUGGCCAUGUUACCACCGCUCCCCUCUUCUACAAUUGCUUAUCGGCCCAUUUGAUUCAGAAAGAAUGAAAGAGAGGUUUUAUUUAACUGUUUUUUUAGGUGAUCGCCUCAAAUUGAGUACUUUUGUUCUUCAAGAUUGUGUGUAUUUUGAACGACUGGAAAAGAACGCCCAAGAUGAGAGACUGGACAUUGUCAACCAAUGAGAUACCCUCGCUGCUCUCUUUGUCGCUUCCUGUUCCUGCUAUUUCCCCUAAUUGCACCCUAUACAUCCUCCAAUUUCUUUCGACGACAACAACUCAGUCUGUCCAACUCCUUCGGCAUAUGAGUUCGAGUCAGGUGGGGAAGCAACGCAUCAGGUUUUUGCAGCAUGAUGAACUCACAAGUCAGUUUCGACCUAGAUAGGAGGUAAACACAAUAUUCACAAACAAUUUGUAUUUGAUUUAGUAAAUAGAUUUCAUUUCCACCUUGAAUAGUUCAUAUUUGGCGAAUACAUAUACUUGAAUGUAUUGGUUGACAUUUUGUAUGGUUUUGCAUCAUAGGUGUUUGAUGAAAUGUCUACAUGAAAGUAAGUACAAGAAAGUAAUUCACUUUAUUUUAGAUGGUUACAGGGUCUACAAUCUGGCAUAUGGUGAAGGUUACAGGUGUGAAUCAUGUAUUUGUGGUAAUCGAUAUACAUUCUUAAUGGUUAGUGAAUUUAUUUCUAUAUUUCCAUUGCACAUCACUCAUAGUUAUUGAAUUGAAAGAAGCCUGUACAUGUUCCAUUAGCCCAUUAGGUGAUGUUAAGUCAAGAUUAGUGAUGAGUAAACUUAAUGUCAACUGUUUUUUUCAAUAAUCGUAAUCUUCUCCAAUAUUAAGUUUUCAAAGUUUUGAUUUCACGUCUAACAGUGGUGUGGUAGAGCAGAAACUGAACGAAAUUUGGUACACAUAUAUAACUAUAUACAAUAUAUACUUACAAUAUGUACUUUUUCUUUUGUAUCCUGCUACUUGCAGUUUCAUUAUAAAAGGUGCUAUUAUCUAUGUAAGAUUUUUAUUUUCCAAAUGAUAUAAUUGUGUAAUGGUGUCUUUUCCCACCUGAUUUUAGGCACAAAUGCGUCAUUUGACAGGUUUUCUUCAAACUACACACCAAUUGCUGACUUUCAUAGAUGAUCAUUGGAUGAAUUGGAUUGGUUUUGUAGUUUCUCACCAUUUAAACUCACAGUAAGUGCUGGGCUUUUGUCUUUUUUCAAAAAUUUGGAAAACUGUUUUCUGGACAACGCAUACAAUUAAAAGGUAGUGGACCAAAAUUCUUUAUAGCGUUAUACUUAUAAACUACAAUGCUAUACAUAAUAUGAGAGUACAUUGCUAUGGUUUUAACAAUCUUACCCUUGAUUUCUUUUCUAUUUUUAAAAAUCUACAAGUUAUGAGUGUGUUUGUAAGAACGAGGAACUAUCUUGCAUCUUACCAGACACCUACCUAUAGAAGCCUUAAAUUGUGUUGCAUCUUCUUCUUAAAAGUGGGUAGCUUCAUCUGUAUAGAAAGAAGUAUGAGAGCAGGUGAAGCUUUAUGGUUGUUGUAUCGAAGGAAAAGAGUUGUUGGUUGUAUAUGAAUACCUCAUCAACAACAGCCUUGCACGUGCUCUUUUUGGUAAAGAGAACCAGAAGCUUAAUUUGGACUGGUCAACUAGAAAGAAGAUAUGUAUGGGAAUCGCAAAGGGCUUAGCUUAUUUACAUGAGGAGUCAACAUGAAAAAUAGUUCAUAGAGAAAGACAAAACAAUUAGAACCUGCACUUUUAGAAUAUGGACUCGACAAACAUAAUGGCAAGUUAAUUUCAGCAGCACCCACGUCUUCUAAUUGAUAUUGAUCCAAAAAAGAUUAAGUAUACCUAAUGUCAUGCAUGUAUUUAUGGAAUCAAUGAUUCUAUACAAUUUA